CCACAUGGCUGACAGAGGAGACUACCUAGAAACCUGGAACCUGCACUCCUGUUGAGAAGCAGAGUCCUGAUACUGCCUCACAUUGGGGCACCCGGUCUUCUACUUCUCCGUUGUACUAACAAGGCAGCACUUCUCAAUUUUCCCUACUGGAGUGAUGUCAGAGAAUACCAACAAAAACAGAAAGUUUCACACCAUAAGGAAGCUGAGGAUCCUUUUGUCCUUUUGGAAUGCCCUGGGGUGUGGGGGGAUUUCUCCACUUGUCUGACUACCAGAUCUGACCCUCUUGACCCUGAGUUUUCCUGGUUGCUAAGAACUGCUGUUCUCAAGGGGCUGCCAUCUGAGAAAUAUAGCUUCUCUGCACGGUGGUCGAUGAUAAGAAAACAGAAAAACGGACAGCUUGAAUAAUUGAAGUUGAGUAACUGAACCAUGAUUUGAACUCAAAAAGUCUACCUCAUGCAGAAUUUAAUUUUAUUUUUAAUUUUCUGUUC